AGACAGAGAGACAGACACACACAUGUACACACACGUACCAGCACACAUUUUGUUUAGGAAACUGCCUUUUGCUGUUGUGGGAGGGUGGUUCAAAAGUUCAGUUUCACCUGGGCGGGUGGGACUGUGUGAACAGGGGUGUGUGGCUCAUCACCUUGAGUUCCUUAGCCUGCGGUGUUAGUGAUACAGUCCUCUUUGUGUAUGGCUUUUACAGUCUAGAGAGAGUACAACUCCAUGAUAUUAGGAAAUCUAUGUUGUGAGCUCCAGAAGGGUAGUAGUGGAGGAACAAUGCACAGAGUAGCAUUUCUGAGUGCACCAUCUUGUGUCACAUCAAACACAACCUGUACAGGAAACCUUGCAACAAGUCUGUUGAGUUCAUGGCACUGUAUACCGCUAUGCAUGCCAAUGCAGAAGAUCCAGGUUGGACUCCUGUCUUAAUUCAUUUUGUCACUUCUACAGAAUAUCUGCAACUGGAUGGUUUAUAAUGAACAGAAGUUUAUUUAGUUCAUGCUUCAGGAGGCCAAGAACUCCAAACAUCACGGCCAUAUCUGCUCAGCUUCAAACAGCUGUGGCUCUCGGUGCCUCUCCCUGCUCUGGAAGGCUGCUCCUCAAAGACAGGGCGGACAUUUUUGGCAUGGUACGGGUGCAGAAGUUUGCCUUGGCACCUCUGCGUUGAAACGGGACUCUGGAUAAACAAAGUUCAGCCCUUCCCAGUCCCGCCAGACCUUCAAGCUCCACAAAUACGAGUAUUCAACCCCCUGCCCUCCCCACUGAAAAGGAAAAUGUAACUGCCUAAGAUUGUUUCCCUUAAAUAAACACCAAACAUGUUCAAAAAAA